rnacentral:lncRNA from 12 species
CUCACGUCAUCUGGGCCACCACAGGUUUCCAGGAACCAACUGUGUCGUUUGUCUGGUGAACAUCUUCCUCAUGUCUUUGGUCCUUUCCAGAUUAAGGAGAUGCUGUGUGUGUGUGUGUGUGUGUGUGUGUGUAUAGGUAUGUAUGUAUUUGUUAGUUUUUCACAGUUAUAUUCUCCAUCUCACAGCAGAAGUGUCUGUAAUUCUCACUUCUUUCUUGUCAUUUGGCUGCGAGUUCCAAUUCGUUGGCUUUUUUACGGAGAUUCCAGAGAGUACUGACGAGGAGCACCUCCCUCCCUGGAGCACCCUGCUGACCAUGUAUGGGCCUCUGUGCCGGACACCGAGGGAAUGGGGUCAGAACAGGAGUCCUACGGAUUCCCCUGCCAAUACCAGGAGUGACCCUGUACUGCUGCUCAUGAUGGCAAAAGAGAACACCCACCCAGAAAGGUCCCGGCGCCCACAUGUGCAGCAUGGAUAGUCACGUCAACUUUGGCACCUAUAAACCUUGGAUCGAAUGCAGAACAUUGGGUCACCUCUCCUGUUAGCGUUGGUUUCUUUCCCCAAAGUUCCAAGAAGUCUAGGUUUGCUUUUGCAUGUCUUACUAAAAUUAUGAAAAGCCCAGAAUUGUGAGUCACUCAAGUUGGGAAUAAUUAGAAAAAGUUAGGAGAUGUGUUUUAGGGAAUAGAAAAGAGACAUCAUGCCGGAUGCAGAGCAGGAGAGAGAGAAGCUUAGGAAAGGGACUUUGGCAUGAAGUAUUCUGUGCAGGGGAGUCUUUCUACACGCAUGGGUGAGUGUGUGUGUGUGUCUGUGUGUGUGUGUAAGGGAGGAAGAGGGAGGUGGGGAGUUAAAGGCAUCUAAACAGUGAGCUGAACAGAUUAUUUAGAUAAAGAUUAGUGAGAGCUUUUUCUGUCUCAAGCUCCAACGUUCCUAUGUUCCUUCUGAAGCAGACAGAACAACUUGGAACCAUAAAACCAGAAAGGCAUUGGACAGUUGGAUGACGGACUUGAUACAGAACAGGUGCCUCUUGGUAUGUGAAUUAUUCAGAACAAAGCAAAAUGUAUCUACAAGCAUCUCAUUGAAAUGCUGAGAAAAGAAUACCAGGGAAAGGAUCUGGUUCAGGGAUUCUCAACCAGGGGAUGUUUCUCCCCUGGGGACACUUGGGAAUGUCUGGAGACACUUAUGGUUGUCACAACUACGACGAAAACUACUGGC